AAAGUCCUUCCAAUCCCAGCGCCUGGGAAAACCAUGGCCAGACUAGGAGGUUGCGGGAGGCCCCUCUGUGGGACACCCUGGAUAAAUUAGAAGCAGAAAAGAAGAACAGGGGGGCAGGGAGAGGAUGUAAAAGAAUCCAAAGCAUUGUUCCAAGCAGCUAAGCAUCCUGUUCAGUUGCUUUAAAUGCCCUCUUCCUCCCUCUAGACCCACAAGAGGAAGUAUUGCAUUAAUUUUUCGCCUUUCCUUUUGAGCAAAUGCUCUAGGGCUCAGCUGCCACAGAUAGUAAAAUAAAUCAAUGGCUAGAAUCCUGCCAAAAGGCAGGCCCCGCUGCAGAGGGUGUUAGGAACAAGAACUGAGCACAACAGCCGUGUCACCUGCAGAGAAACUGCCUUCGCCUGUCGACCCCCAGCAUUGAGUGAGAUGGUCACCCAGUUGUGGCAAAACGAUAUUUUCUUCACUGACAUGAAAUGCCAUUUUCACUUUAUGCAAAAUAUCCAUGUUAGAUCAAAGAGUAAUGGAAGAGGAAGAAUCUUCUAGAGCAACAGAUUCAAGAGCCAUGGACCAGAGGACCAGAGACUCUCCCAGUGAGCAGAAUCAGGGACUGAUCAGGAACAUUUAUUACUGUCGAGAUAGGCCCAGCUAGAUUUCAGAAUUGCUGUGGACCUGUAGCUGUUUUGUGUCUCCUACUCUUCUCUCUUUCUAAAUGGAAAUGUUUAUUUGGGGGGAAGAAAAAAAAGGAAAUGUUUAUUUUGGUAGUCCUAUCCUUCUUCCACCAUUGUAUAAUGGGUGUGUGGGUGACUAAUAAUUUGCCUAUUACAUUCAUAGAGCUUCAGACUAAGAGGAACCAUAUCUAGACCCAGUAAAAAGACUAAAAUCCAUCACUCAGAGAUUCUGGACAUGGGACUGAAUGCAAUAUCUGGACGGAACUUUUGGGUAAAAGGUAACCAAACAUAUGGGGACAAGAAAAGUAAGUGAUGACAGUCAUUAGGGUUACUCACCUUAGCUAAUAAAAACUGACUGGAAGUCAAAGAAGAUUUCACUUGCAGGCGAAAUCUCCAAGAGUGUGGGAUUCCCCAUUGAUGCAAAGAUCAUCAACAAAAUAUUAGUAAAACAAAUCCAACAAUUCAUUAAAAAACCAUUCACCAUCAUCAAUAGGAUUUAUUCCAGGAAUGCAAGGUUAGUUCAAUAUUUGCAAAUCAAUCAACAUGAUACAUCACAUUAACAAGAGAAAGGAUAAAAACCAUAUGAUAAUCUCAGUAGGGGCAGAAAAAGCAUUUGACAAAGUACAACAUCCAUUCAUGAUAAAAACUCUCAACAAAGUAGAUCUAGAGGGAACGUACCUCGAUAUAAUAAAGGCUGUAUAUGAAAAACCCACGGCUGACAGCAUACUCAAUGGUGAAAAGCUGAAAGCUUUUUGCAUAAGAUCAGGAAGUAGACAAGUAUGUCCACUCUCACCAGCUUUAUUCAGCAUAGUACUGGAAGUCCUAGCCAGAGCAAUCAGACAGAAAAAGAAAUAAAAGACAUCCAAAUUGGUAAGGAAGAAGUAAAACUUACUAUUUGCAAAUGACAUGAUACUAUAUAUAGAAAACCCUAAAGACCCCCCAAAACAACCCUGCUAGAACUGAUAAAAAUGAAUUCAUUAAAGUUGCAGAAUACAAAGUUAAUAUACAAAAAUUGCAGAAAAAGAAAUUAAGAAAGCAAUCCCAUUUAUAAUUGCACCCAGAAUAAUAAAAUACCUAGGAACAAACUUAUCCAAGGAUAUGAAAGACCUACACUCUGACAACUAUAAAACACUGAUGAAAGAAAUUGAAGAUGACACAAACAAAUAGAAAGAUAUUCCAUGCUCAUGGAUUGGGACAACCAAUAUUGUUAAAAUGUCCAUACUACCCAAAGCAAUCUACAUUUUUAAUGCAAUCCCUAUCAAAAUACCAACAGUGUUUUUCACAGAAGUAGAACAAAUAAUCUUAAAAUUUGUAUGGAACCACAAAAGACCCUGAAUAACCAAAACAAUCUUGAAAAUGAAGAACAAAACUAAAGGUAUCACAAUACUAAAUUUGAAGGUAGACUACAAAACUGUAGUAAUCAAAAUGGUAUGGUACUGACAUAAAAUAGACACGUAGAUUAAUGGAACAGAAUAGAGGGCCCAGAAACAUACCCAUGAUUAUAUGGUCAAUCAAUAUACAACAAAAGAGGCAAGAACAUGCAAUGGGAGAAAAGACAAUCUCUUCAACAAAUGGUGCUGGGAAAACUGGCAGCCACAUGCGAAAGAAUGAAACUGAAUCACUGUCUAACACCAUACACAAAAAUAAACUGGAAGUGGAUUAAAGACUUAAAUUUGAGACCUGAAACCAUAAAAUUCCUAAAAGAAAAGAAAGUAAUCUUUUUGGCCUCAGCUGUAGAAACAUUUGUCUAGAUAUGUCUCCUCUGGCAAAGGAAAAAAAAUAAGUAUACUAUUGGGACUACACCCUUCCCCACCAAAAAGCUUUUGCAUAGUGAAGGAAAACCAUCAACAGAACAAAAAGGCAGCCUACUGAAUGGGAGAAGAUAUUUGCAAAUGACAUAUCGAAUAAGGGGGUAAUAUCCAAAAUAUAGAAAGAACUUAUACAACUCUACACCAAAGCAACAAAUAAUCCAACUAAAAAAAAAAAUGGGCAGAGGACACGAAUAGACAUUUUUCUUAAGAAGACAUACAGAUGGCCAAUAGCCACAUGAAAGGAUGCUCAUUGCUAAUCAUCAGGAAAAUGCAAAUCAAAAUAACAAUGAGAUAUCCCCUUAUACUAGCUAGAAUCAAAAACACAAGAAACAACAAGUAUUGGUGAGGAUGUGGGGAAAAAGGAACCCUCAUGCACUGUUGGUCAAAAUACAAAUUAGCUCAGCCACUAUGGAAAACAAUAUGGAGGUUCUUCAAAAAAUUCAAAGUACAAUUACAGUAUGAUCCAGUAAUUCCUCUACUGAAUAUUUACCCAAAGAAAAUGAAAACACUAACUUGAAAAGGUACAUGUACCCUUUGUUUAUUGCAGCAUUAUUUAUAAUAGCCAAGAAGUGGAAAUAACCCAGAUAUCCAUCCAUAGAUGCAGUCAAAUGCUCUACCCCUGAGCUAUACCCCCUAUCCAUCCAUAGAUGAAUGGAUAAAGAAGAUGUGGUUUGUGUGUAUGUGUAUAUAAUGGAAUAUUACUCAGUCAUCAUAAAGAAGGAGAUCUUGCCAUUUGCAACAACAUGGAUGGAUCUAGAGGGUAUAAUGUUAAGUGAAAUAAGUCAGUCAGAAAAAGACAAAUAUCAUGUGAUUUUACUCAUGUGUCAAAUUUAAGAAGCAAAACAAAUGAGCAAAGAAAAAAAGAGACAAACAAAAACCCAGACUCAUAAAUACAGAGAACAAACUGGUAGUUGCCAGAGGGGAGGUGGGUGGGGGGAUGGGUGAAAUAGGAGAAGGGGAUUAAGAGUACACUUACUGUGAUGAGCACUGAGUAAUGCAUAGAACUCUUGAAUACAUUGUACACCUGAAACUAAUAUAACACUGCAUGUUUAUUACACUUGAAUAAUAAAAAAAAGAAUGUGGGAUUCCCCACAUUCCCUUGUUCUUCAAUCUGUUGUUAUGAAAGUAUACGAGGGAGUGAGGAAGCAUGGCACUUCCACAUGCUGGGAAGGAGAAUGGAAACACUUGUGAGCAGCUGUAAUGACUGUCUUGGUCUCCUUUUCUGAGGGGAGGAGAAUAAUUAUCCCUGAGGUAUUCUAGUUUCAGCCCCUCACCCGACAAGCGAAAGAGAAAUAAAAGAGCAGAGCCUGCCCACUCCGCAUUCCAAAUCUACUGGGAGAGAGGAGGAGCUAAGGUUUCAAUAAGAAAGGAGAUCAGAGUUUUAAAAUAAACUCACUUUAAAACCA